rnacentral:rRNA from 1 species
GACGAACCUUGCUAACGUUAUUCGGAAUUACUGGGCUUAAAGGGUGCGUAGGCGGCGCGGUAAGUCGGGUGUGAAAUCUCGGAGCUUAACUCCGAAACUGCAUUCGAUACUGCGGUGCUUGAGGACUGGAGAGGAGACUGGAAUUCACGGUGUAGCAGUGAAAUGCGUAGAUAUCGUGAGGAAGACCAGUGGCGAAGGCGGAUCUCUGGACAGUUCCUGACGCUGAGGCGCGAAGGCCAGGGGAGCAAACGGG